GCCUGGGUGGCUCAGUCGGUUAGGCGGCUGACUUUGGCUCAGGUCAUGAUCUCACGGUCUGUGGGUUCGAGCCCCACGUCGGGCU
rnacentral:tRNA from 1 species